rnacentral:rRNA from 1 species
GUGAAACCGCGAAUGGCUCAUUAAAUCACACCUAAUCUACUGGAUAGUUAACAGUUACUUGGAUAACUGCGGUAAUUCUGGAGCUAAUACAUGCACAAAGCCUCGAACUUACGUGAGAGGCGCUUUUAUUAGAUCAAAACCAAACGUUUUCGAACGUUUUCUUGGUGACUCUGAAUAACUUUGGGCUGAUCGCAUAGCCUAGCGCUGGCGACAUAUCCUUCGAAGGUGUGCCCUAUCAACUGUCGACUGUGGCAUAGACGCCCACAGUGGUUUUGACGGGUAACGGGGAAUCAGGGUUCGAUUCCGGAGAGGGAGCCUUAAAAACGGCUACCACAUCUAAGGAAGGCAGCAGGCACGCAAAUUACCCAAUGACCGAAGGUCGAGGUAGUGACGAAAAAUAACGAUACGGGACUCUUCCGAGGCCCCGUAAUCGGAAUGAGUACACUUUAAAACCGUCCCCGAGGAUCUAUUGGAGGGCAAGUCUGGUGCCAGCAGCCGCGGUAAUUCCAGCUCCAAUAGCGUAUAUUAAAGUUGUUGUGGUUAAAAAGCUCGUAGUUGGAUCUCGGCAGUCUGAGGUUGGUGUACUUGCUAGUACUACUGCCCUAUAGACUGUAGUUUUGCCAGAGGUGCCCGGGUGCUCUUAAUCGAGUGUCCUGGUAUGCUGGCAGGUUUACUUUGAAAAAAUUAGAGUGCUCAAAGCAGGCUUUUACGCCUGAAUAUUCGUGCAUGGAAUAAUAGAAUAGGAAGUCGUUUCUAUUUUGUUGGUUUUCGGAAAUCGACUUAAUGAUUAAUAGGGACAGUCGGGGGCAUUUGUAUUCAAACGACAGAGGUGAAAUUCUUGGACCGUUUGAAGACAAACUACUGCGAAAGCAUUUGCCAAGAAUGUUUUCAUUAAUCAAGAACGAAAG